rnacentral:rRNA from 1 species
UCCUACGGGAGGCAGCAGUGGGGAAUAUUGCACAAUGGGCGGAAGCCUGAUGCAGCGACGCCGCGUGAGGGAUGACGGCCUUCGGGUUGUAAACCUCUUUCGCCAGGGACGAAGCCGUAAGUGACGGUACCUGGAGAAGAAGCACCGGCUAACUACGUGCCAGCAGCCGCGGUAAUACGUAGGGUGCAAGCGUUGUCCGGAAUUAUUGGGCGUAAAGAGCUCGUAGGCGGCUUGUCGCGUCUGCUGUGAAAAUCCCAGGCUUAACUCCGGACCUACAGUGGAUACGGGCAGGCUUGAGUUCGGUAGGGGAGACUGGAAUUCCUGGUGUAGCGGUGGAAUGCGCAGA